rnacentral:rRNA from 1 species
GACGAACGCUGGCGGCGUGCUUAACACAUGCAAGUCGAACGGAAAGGCCCUGCUUUUGUGGGGUUCUCGAGUGGCGAACGGGUGAGUAACACGUGAGUAACCUGCCCUUGACUUUGGGAUAACUUCAGGAAACUGGGGCUAAUACCGGAUAGGAGCUCCUGCUGCAUGGUGGGCGUUGGAAAGUUUCGGCGGUUGGGGAUGGACUCGCGGCUUAUCAGCUUGUUGGUGGGGUAGUGGCUUACCAAGGCUUUGACGGGUAGCCGGCCUGAGAGGGUGACCGGCCACAUGGGGACUGAGAUACGGCCCAGACUCCUACGGGAGGCAGCAGUGGGGAAUAUUGCACAAUGGGCGGAAGCCUGAUGCAGAAACGCCGCGUGCGGGAUGACGGCCUUCGGGUUGUAAACAGCUUUCGCCUGUGACGAAGCGUGAGUGACGGUAAUGGGUAAAGAAGCACCGGCUAACUACGUG